UAGGGUAUCUUCGGCAAUGGGGGCAACCCUGACCGAGCAACGCCGCGUGAGUGAAGAAGGUUUUCGGAUCGUAAAGCUCUGUUGUAAGAGAAGAACGUGUGUGAGAGUGGAAAGUUCACACAGUGACGGUAACUUACCAGAAAGGGACGGCUAACUACGUGCCAGCAGCAGCGGUAAUACGUAGGUCCCGAGCGUUGUCCGGAUUUAUUGGGCGUAAAGCGAGCGCAGGCGGUUUAAUAAGUCUGAAGUUAAAGGCAGUGGCUUAACCAUUGUUCGCUUUGGAAACUGUUAAACUUGAGUGCAGAAGGGGAGAGUGGAAUUCAAUGUGUAGCGGUGAAAUGCGUAGAUAUAUGGAGGAACACCGGUGGCGAAAGCAGCUCUCUGGUCUGUAACUGACGCUGAGGCUCGAAAGCGUGGGGAGCAAACAGG
rnacentral:rRNA from 1 species